AAGAGCUUCCACAUUCUGGAGGCCUGAGUUCUAGUUCUGCUUUUGACUACCCGCGGCAAUGUGGACAGGGCAGCGUUACAAGGUUGUGGCUAUGGCUACGUGAAGAGCAGAUCACUCCAUGCCUGGAGGAUUAUUGUCAGGAGCACUAUUUUGGCCGACAAAACAGGCACGUGGAUCAAGCCAGACAGGGACAAAUUUGAAGGACUCACCAGCUUACGGGACUUAUUUCAGCUACUCUAAAAGGAGGAUCAGUUGCUAGAAACUUAAGUAAUAUCAGAUGAAAGUCUAAGUGUAGUUACCCUUUGACUCAGGAACUUCCCUUCUGGGAAAUCCCAGCAUAUGCUCAUAAACAUAGACCUACAAGGUGAAAACCAGCCAACAGCCUACUGUGUUCACGGAAGAGGGAUAUGAUCCGUCAACACAAUGCAACGCUGUGCAGAGGGUGAAAGGGUGGGGUAGGUCUUGAUUCACCCACAUGGAGAGAGGUGGAGAAUACAAUGUGUAUAGAAAUGAAAGGAAAUCAUGGACACACACAGAUAUCCAUCCACAAAUACACACAUCAAAAUGCCUCUCGGGAAGCCUGGAAGGCUUAGUUACCAACUUCUUGCCGCUCCCCGAAGAGGCCGCAGAUGCUUUGGCUUCCCUACUUUUCCUAUUUGCCAGUUUCGUCUGCCUGAAAUAGUCAUCUUUCGCACCUGUGAGAGCCCGCCCCUCCCUCAGAGCGCAGGUCAACCACGGAUUCCACGGGGGCACUUCACGUUUCCCUCUGGGCCUGCUCUGAGCCUGACAGCAUGCCGAAUUGAAACCAUUACCUAAAAACAUUGCCAGAAAGAACAACGGCGGAAGCUCUGAGCCCCCGUUGCCCCAAAGGCGACCUCCCAAGCCAUGCUUUUGUGACUCUCCGUGUCUUAGGAGGUGUGCUGUCGGAGGAAAGAAAAAAGUCGCGCGAAGGGAGAAAACUGGGUAGAAUUUGCUUGAGACAAAAAUCCAGAGGCAUUGACGUCGAGAAGCCCCUCCCCAAUCCGGACAGCAGGUGGCGCAAGCGACCAAGAUUUCUUCAACCACCACCGAAGGAGGCCGCAAGGUAAAGCUUUUGGAAAGUCUGGGAAGGUGGGAGUAUUAUCCUGAGCCUCUCUUUCCCCCGCCCGACUGGGGCACAAGACAUAAAGACAGAUAUCAUUGGUCUCCUCUAGGAUUUCAGCUCCUAGAUGUCUGGCUUUCCCACCUCUGGGUUCGACCCUCUUCCGUCCACCCUCACUGUGGCCCUAUUUUGUUCUUUGAAAACCCAUUCUUUGCUGGCGGACGUGAGCAUUUCCAUUUUCACCAGUGGCUGUGAAUAUUAGUAAAACCCUUAGGAAGGGCACUUUGGCAGUGCCUAUGAAAAGGAGAACCCUGAGCCUAGAGGAGACAAGCAAUGACUCAAGAGUUACUUAAAAAGAGUUCUCUGCAAUCAUGGUUGGGAUAUUUAUCAUUGCUUGAAGUUCCUCUUCUGGAGGCAAGUCGAUUAUUUUAAAGGUAGAUGAGGAAAUGAACAAGUUACUGAUAUCAUGCUUAAUUUAUAUCUGAAUUAGGAUGAGGUAGUUAUUUGGGUAAGCUUGGCAGUUAUUGUCAUAACUUUGUGUAAUGGAUUUAUUGAUGGAAAAAUGUUGGCAUGGAAGAACGUAAUAGCUAGAUGGGCUAAUUGAAUGCCAUACUGUUGCCGAGGAGGGUGGUUAUUUUGUUAUUGUGCAAAAUGUGUUUAUUCUUUCAACGAACAUGUAUUAAGCACUUAGUGUUUAUGCAAAAAUACCUGUGGAGUGACUACCACCUGCCGGGCACGGUGUCAGGUGCUAGGAAUAAGAUACGCAACACACUCUCUGCCCUUGUGGAGCUUAAAUGAGAAACAAAUACAUAUGCGGCAAGUGGUUAUAACUGCUAUGCAAAAGAAUAAGGCUAUAAAACGGGGUGUUGUAUGGAAACCAAUUUGACAAUAAAUUUCAUAUAUUGAAAAAAAAAGAAAAAAAA
rnacentral:lncRNA from 1 species